rnacentral:tRNA from 1 species
AAAAAGAUAAGCUAAUAUAAGCUAAUGGGUUCAUACCCCAUUUAUAGAAGUUAAAUCUUCUUCUUUUUA